GUCCUUGUACCGCAAUGGAUAGCGCGUUGGACUCCUAAUCCAAAGGUCGUGGGUUCAAUCCCGCCUGGGAUG